rnacentral:sRNA from 1 species
UUCACAAUGCCAGAGCCUGAACUCCUGAGUCUACCCCCCAGAACAGGUACAACCCAGGCAGCAGCAGGGUUGGCUUCCCCCACCCCAGUCCAAUGUGCCUCAGCCCUGACCUGGAGGCGCCACUUCCAUACAUGAAAGGGAAGUCCAUUUCCACUGUCCAAUUCAAUCCUUGGCCUCU